rnacentral:rRNA from 2 species
UCCUGACUGACCGAUAGUGAACCAGUACCGUGAGGGAAAGGCGAAAAGAACCCCGGCGAGGGGAGUGAAAAAGAACCUGAAACCGUGUACGUACAAGCAGUGGGAGCACGCUUAGGCGUGUGACUGCGUACCUUUUGUAUAAUGGGUCAGCGACUUAUAUUCUGUAGCAAGGUUAACCGAAUAGGGGAGCCGAAGGGAAACCGAGUCUUAACUGGGCGUUAAGUUGCAGGGUAUAGACCCGAAACCCGGUGAUCUAGCCAUGGGCAGGUUGAAGGUUGGGUAACACUAACUGGAGGACCGAACCGACUAAUGUUGAAAAAUUAGCGGAUGACUUGUGGCUGGGGGUGAAAGGCCAAUCAAACCGGGAGAUAGCUGGUUCUCCCCGAAAGCUAUUUAGGUAGCGCCUCGUGAAUUCAUCUCCGGGGGUAG